GCUGGAAUGGCCGAGUCGUUAAGGCGAUAGAUUUGAAUUGUCUUAUCUAUUACUCUCUGAGUGCGUAGGUUCAAAUCCUGCUUCCAGCG
rnacentral:tRNA from 1 species